rnacentral:rRNA from 1 species
UAGGGAAUAUUAGAAAUGGACGAAAGUCUGAUCUAGCAACACCGCGUGUGCGAUGAAGGCCUUCGGGUUGCAAAGCACUUUUUGGAAGGAUUAGGAAGGAAUGUACUUCCAGAAUAAGUCUCGGCUAACUACGUGCCAGCAGCCGCGGUAACACGUAGGAGGCGAACGUUAUCCGGAUUUACUGGGCGUAAAGCGCGUGUAGGUGGUUCUGUAAGUAGGGCGUGAAAGCUCCUGGCUCAACUGGGAGAGGCCGUUCUAAACUGCAGAGGUAGAGGAGGGGAGAGGGGGGUUGAAGACAGGGUGGAGCGGUGGGAUGCGCAGAUAUCCGGAGGA